UAACGCAGCGAAAGCUGUGCUAAUACCGCAUACGAUCUACGGAUGAAAGCAGGGGACCGCAAGGCCUUGCGCGAAUGGAGCGGCCGAUGGCAGAUUAGGUAGUUGGUGAGGUAAAGGCUCACCAAGCCUUCGAUCUGUAGCUGGUCUGAGAGGACGACCAGCCACACUGGGACUGAGACACGGCCCAGACUCCUACGGGAGGCAGCAGUGGGGAAUUUUGGACAAUGGGCGCAAGCCUGAUCCAGCCAUGCCGCGUGCAGGAUGAAGGCCUUCGGGUUGUAAACUGCUUUUGUACGGAACGAAACGGCUCUUUCUAAUAAAGAGGGCUAAUGACGGUACCGUAAGAAUAAGCACCGGCUAACUACGUGCCAGCAGCCGCGGUAAUACGUAGGGUGCAAGCGUUAAUCGGAAUUACUGGGCGUAAAGCGUGCGCAGGCGGUGAUGUAAGACAGUUGUGAAAUCCCCGGGCUCAACCUGGGAACUGCAUCUGUGACUGCAUC
rnacentral:rRNA from 1 species